AUUGAACGCUGGCGGCAUGCUUUACACAUGCAAGUCGAACGGCAGCACGGGCUUCGGCCUGGUGGCGAGUGGCGAACGGGUGAGUAAUAUAUCGGAACGUACCCAGAAGUGGGGGAUGACGUAGCGAAAGUUACGCUAAUACCGCAUACGAUCUAUGGAUGAAAGCAGGGGACCGCAAGGCCUUGUGCUCCUGGAGCGGCCGAUAUCUGAUUAGCUAGUUGGUGAGGUAAAGGCUCACCAAGGCGACGAUCAGUAGCUGGUCUGAGAGGACGACCAGCCACACUGGAACUGAGACACGGUCCAGACUCCUACGGGAGGCAGCAGUGGGGAAUUUUGGACAAUGGGCGCAAGCCUGAUCCAGCAAUGCCGCGUGAGUGAAGAAGGCCUUCGGGUUGUAAAGCUCUUUUGUCAGGGAAGAAACGGUAGAGGCUAAUAUCCUUUGCUAAUGACGGUACCUGAAGAAUAAGCACCGGCUAACUACGUG
rnacentral:rRNA from 1 species